UGAGGAAUAUUGGUCAAUGGGCGAGAGCCUGAACCAGCCAAGUAGCGUGCAGGAUGACGGCCCUAUGGGUUGUAAACUGCUUUUAUGUGGGGAUAAAGUGCGUGACGUGUCAUGCAUUGCAGGUACCACAUGAAUAAGGACCGGCUAAUUCCGUGCCAGCAGCCGUGGUAAUACGGAAGGUCCGGGCGUUAUCCGGAUUUAUUGGGUUUAAAGGGAGCGUAGGCUGUCUAUUAAGCGUGUUGUGAAAUUUACCGGCUCAACCGGUGGCUUGCAGCGCGAACUGGUCGACUUGAGUAUGCAGGAAGUAGGCGGAAUUCAUGGUGUAGCGGUGAAAUGCUUAGAUAUCAUGACGAACUCCGAUUGCGCAGGCAGCUUACUGUAGCAUAACUGACGCUGAUGCUCGAAAGUGCGGGUAUCAAACAGG
rnacentral:rRNA from 1 species